UACGUCCCUGCCCUUUGUACACACCGCCCGUCGCUCCUACCGAUUGGAUGACUCGGUGAAAUCACCGGAUGCUUACGAGCAGAAAGUGAUUAAAUCACGUUAUCUAGAGGAAGGAGAAGUCGUAACAAGGUAACGGUAGGUGAACCUGCCGUUGGAUCAGUU
rfam:Trichomonas vaginalis G3, whole genome shotgun sequence.